GGGUACAUUGCUCAGUGGUAGAGUGUGUGCUUAGCACGCAGGAGGCCCUGGGUUCAGUCCUCAGUGCUCCCA
rnacentral:tRNA from 1 species